rnacentral:rRNA from 1 species
AGUAGUUGAUCAGUGCUCGAGACACGCUGGCGGCACGCUUAACACAUGCAAGUCGAACGGAGAAUAUUGGUUACUGAGUAUCUUAGUGGCGGACGGGUGAGUAACACGUGAGCAACCUGCCUUUGAGAGAGGGAUAGCUUCUGGAAACGGAUGGUAAUACCUCAUAACAUAGUUGAAGGGCAUCCUUUGAUUAUCAAAGAUUUUAUCACUCAAAGAUGGGCUCGCGUCUGAUUAGAUAGUUGGUGAGGUAACGGCUCACCCAAGUCGACGAUCAGUAGCCGGACUGAGAGGUUGAACGGCCACAUUGGGACUGAGACACGGCCCAGACUCCUACGGGAGGCAGCAGUGGGGAAUAUUGCACAAUGGGGGGAAAAACCCCCUGAUGCAGCGAUGCCGCGUGGUAGGAAGGAAGGUUUUCGGAUUGUAAACUCCUGUCUUAAAGGACGAUAAUGACGGUACUUUAGGAGGAACGCUCCGGCUAACUACGUGCCAGCCGCGGC